rnacentral:rRNA from 1 species
GAUCUGGCUCAGGACGAACGCCCUCGGCGUGCCUAAUACAUGCAAGUCGAGCCCACAGAUGGGAGCUUGCUCCCUGAUGUUAGCGGCGGACGGGUGAGUAACACGUGGGUAACCUGCCUGUAAGACUGGGAUAACUCCGGGAAACCGGGGCUAAUACCGGAUGGUUGUUUGAACCGCAUGGUUCAGACAUAAAAGGUGGCUUCGGCUACCACUUACAGAUGGACCCGCGGCGCAUUAGCUAGUUGGUGAGGUAACGGCUCACCAAGGCGACGAUGCGUAGCCGACCUGAGAGGGUGAUCGGCCACACUGGGACUGAGACACGGCCCAGACUCCUACGGGAGGCAGCAGUAGGGAAUCUUCCGCAAUGGACGAAAGUCUGACGGAGCAACGCCGCGUGAGUGAUGAAGGUUUUCGGAUCGUAAAGCUCUGUUGUUAGGGAAGAACAAGUGCCGUUCAAAUAGGGCGGCACCUUGACGGUACCUAACCAGAAAGCCACGGCUAACUACGUGCCAGCAGCCGCGGUAAUACGUAGGUGGCAAGCGUUGUCCGGAAUUAUUGGGCGUAAAGGGCUCGCAGGCGGUUUCUUAAGUCUGAUGUGAAAGCCCCCGGCUCAACCGGGGAGGGUCAUUGGAAACUGGGGAACUUGAGUGCAGAAGAGGAGAGUGGAAUUCCACGUGUAGCGGUGAAAUGCGUAGAGAUGUGGAGGAACACCAGUGGCGAAGGCGACUCUCUGGUCUGUAACUGACGCUGAGGAGCGAAAGCGUGGGGAGCGAACAGGAUUAGAUACCCUGGUAGUCCACGCCGUAAACGAUGAGUGCUAAGUGUUAGGGGGUUUCCGCCCCUUAGUGCUGCAGCUAACGCAUUAAGCACUCCGCCUGGGGAGUACGGUCGCAAGACUGAAACUCAAAGGAAUUGACGGGGGCCCGCACAAGCGGUGGAGCAUGUGGUUUAAUUCGAAGCAACGCGAAGAACCUUACCAGGUCUUGACAUCCUCUGACAAUCCUAGAGAUAGGACGUCCCCUUCGGGGGCAGAGUGACAGGUGGUGCAUGGUUGUCGUCAGCUCGUGUCGUGAGAUGUUGGGUUAAGUCCCGCAACGAGCGCAACCCUUGAUCUUAGUUGCCAGCAUUCAGUUGGGCACUCUAAGGUGACUGCCGGUGACAAACCGGAGGAAGGUGGGGAUGACGUCAAAUCAUCAUGCCCCUUAUGACCUGGGCUACACACGUGCUACAAUGGRCAGAACAAAGGGCAGCGAAACCGCGAGGUUAAGCCAAUCCCACAAAUCUGUUCUCAGUUCGGAUCGCAGUCUGCAACUCGACUGCGUGAAGCUGGAAUCGCUAGUAAUCGCGGAUCAGCAUGCCGCGGUGUAUACGUUCCCGGGCCUUGUACACACCGCCCGUCACACCACGAGAGAUUGUAACACCCGAAGUCGAUGAGGAACCUUAG